rnacentral:rRNA from 1 species
UCCUACGGGAGGCAGCAGUAGGGAAUCUUCCGCAAUGGACGAAAGUCUGACGGAGCAACGCCGCGUGAGUGAUGAAGGCUUUCGGGUCGUAAAACUCUGUUGUUAGGGAAGAACAAGUGCUAGUUGAAUAAGCUGGCACCUUGACGGUACCUAACCAGAAAGCCACGGCUAACUACGUGCCAGCAGCCGCGGUAAUACGUAGGUGGCAAGCGUUAUCCGGAAUUAUUGGGCGUAAAGCGCGCGCAGGUGGUUUCUUAAGUCUGAUGUAAAAGGCAGUGGCUCAACCAUUGUGUGCAUUGGAAACUGUUAGACUUGAGUGCAGUAGAGGAGAGUGGAAUUCCAUGUGUAGCGGUGAAAUGCGUAGAUAUAUGGAGGAACACCGGUGGCGAAAGCGGCCCUCUGGACUGUAACUGACACUGAGGCUCGAAAGCGUGGGUAGCAAACAGGAUUAGAUACCCUGGUAGUCCACGCCGUAAACGAUGAGUGCUAGUUGUUUGGGGCUAUCCAGCCCUAAGUGACGCAGCAAACGCAUUAAGCACUCCGCCUGGGGAGUACGACCGCAAGGUUGAAACUCAAAGGAAUUGACGGA